GCCCAUAGCUCAACUGGAUAGAGUGUUUGACUACGGAUCCAAAGGCUAGGGGUUCGACACCUCUUGGGCGCG
rnacentral:tRNA from 1 species